rnacentral:rRNA from 1 species
AGCGUACACGGUGGAUGCCCUGGCAGUCAGAGGCGAUGAAGGGCGUGCUAAUCUGCGAUAAGCGCCGGUAAGGUGAUAUGAACCGUUAUAACCGGCGAUACCCGAAUGGGGAAACCCAGUGUGAUUCGUCACACUAUCAUUAACUGAAUCCAUAGGUUAAUGAGGCGAACCGGGGGAACUGAAACAUCUAAGUACCCCGAGGAAAAGAAAUCAACCGAGAUUCCCCCAGUAGCGGCGAGCGAACGGGGAGGAGCCCAGAGCCUGAAUCAGCAUGUGUGUUAGUGGAAGCGUCUGGAAAGGCGCGCGAUACAGGGUGACAGCCCCGUACACAAAAGCGCAUGUGCUGUGAGCUCGAUGAGUAGGGCGGGACACGUGGUAUCCUGUCUGAAUAUGGGGGGACCAUCCUCCAAGGCUAAAUACUCCUGACUGACCGAUAGUGAACCAGUACCGUGAGGGAAAGGCGAAAAGAACCCCGGCGAGGGGAGUGAAAAAGAACCUGAAACCGUGUACGUACAAGCAGUGGGAGCCCCACCACCAAAGCGUUUCGCUUUGUGUGGUGCACAAAGAAGCGUAACGACAGCACUGAAUGACGGUUAACGGAGCGCAAGCGACGUUCAACAUACAAAGUCAAGCAGUGGAGCGCUUUGGGGUGGGGUGACUGCGUACCUUUUGUAUAAUGGGUCAGCGACUUAUAUUCUGUAGCAAGGUUAACCGAAUAGGGGAGCCGGAGGGAAACCGAGUCUUAAUUGGGCGUUAAGUUGCAGGGUAUAGACCCGAAACCCGGUGAUCUAGCCAUGGGCAGGUUGAAGGUUGGGUAACACUAACUGGAGGACCGAACCGACUAAUGUUGAAAAAUUAGCGGAUGACCUGUGGCUGGGGGUGAAAGGCCAAUCAAACCGGGAGAUAGCUGGUUCUCCCCGAAAGCUAUUUAGGUAGCGCCUCGUGAAUUCAUCUCCGGGGGUAGAGCACUGUUUCGGCUAGGGGGCCAUCCCGGCUUACCAACCCGAUGCAAACUGCGAAUACCGGAGAAUGUUAUCACGGGAGACACACGGCGGGUGCUAACGUCCGUCGUGAAGAGGGAAACAACCCAGACCGCCAGCUAAGGUCCCAAAGUCAUGGUUAAGUGGGAAACGAUGUGGGAAGGCCCAGACAGCCAGGAUGUUGGCUUAGAAGCAGCCAUCAUUUAAAGAAAGCGUAAUAGCUCACUGGUCGAGUCGGCCUGCGCGGAAGAUGUAACGGGGCUAAACCAUGCACCGAAGCUGCGGCAGCGACGCUUAUGCGUUGUUGGGUAGGGGAGCGUUCUGUAAGCCUGUGAAGGUGGCCUGUGAGGGUUGCUGGAGGUAUCAGAAGUGCGAAUGCUGACAUAAGUAACGAUAAAGCGGGUGAAAAGCCCGCUCGCCGGAAGACCAAGGGUUCCUGUCCAACGUUAAUCGGGGCAGGGUGAGUCGACCCCUAAGGCGAGGCCGAAAGGCGUAGUCGAUGGGAAACGGGUUAAUAUUCCCGUACUUGGUGUUACUGCGAAGGGGGGACGGAGAAGGCUAUGUUGGCCGGGCGACGGUUGUCCCGGUUUAAGCGUGUAGGUGUGUGUUCCAGGUAAAUCCGGUUCACUUUAACACUGAGGCGUGAUGACGAGGCACUACGGUGCUGAAGCAACAAAUGCCCUGCUUCCAGGAAAAGCCUCUAAGCAUCAGGUAACAUCAAAUCGUACCCCAAACCGACACAGGUGGUCAGGUAGAGAAUACCAAGGCGCUUGAGAGAACUCGGGUGAAGGAACUAGGCAAAAUGGUGCCGUAACUUCGGGAGAAGGCACGCUGACACGUAGGUGAAGUGAUUUACUCAUGGAGCUGAAGUCAGUCGAAGAUACCAGCUGGCUGCAACUGUUUAUUAAAAACACAGCACUGUGCAAACACGAAAGUGGACGUAUACGGUGUGACGCCUGCCCGGUGCCGGAAGGUUAAUUGAUGGGGUCAGCGCAAGCGAAGCUCCUGAUCGAAGCCCCGGUAAACGGCGGCCGUAACUAUAACGGUCCUAAGGUAGCGAAAUUCCUUGUCGGGUAAGUUCCGACCUGCACGAAUGGCGUAAUGAUGGCCAGGCUGUCUCCACCCGAGACUCAGUGAAAUUGAACUCGCUGUGAAGAUGCAGUGUACCCGCGGCAAGACGGAAAGACCCCGUGAACCUUUACUAUAGCUUGACACUGAACAUUGAGCCUUGAUGUGUAGGAUAGGUGGGAGGCUUUGAAGCGUGGACGCCAGUCUGCGUGGAGCCGACCUUGAAAUACCACCCUUUAAUGUUUGAUGUUCUAACGUGGACCCGUAAUCCGGGUUGCGGACAGUGUCUGGUGGGUAGUUUGACUGGGGCGGUCUCCUCCUAAAGAGUAACGGAGGAGCACGAAGGUUGGCUAAUCCUGGUCGGACAUCAGGAGGUUAGUGCAAUGGCAUAAGCCAGCUUGACUGCGAGCGUGACGGCGCGAGCAGGUGCGAAAGCAGGUCAUAGUGAUCCGGUGGUUCUGAAUGGAAGGGCCAUCGCUCAACGGAUAAAAGGUACUCCGGGGAUAACAGGCUGAUACCGCCCAAGAGUUCAUAUCGACGGCGGUGUUUGGCACCUCGAUGUCGGCUCAUCACAUCCUGGGGCUGAAGUAGGUCCCAAGGGUAUGGCUGUUCGCCAUUUAAAGUGGUACGCGAGCUGGGUUUAGAACGUCGUGAGACAGUUCGGUCCCUAUCUGCCGUGGGCGCUGGAGAACUGAGGGGGGCUGCUCCUAGUACGAGAGGACCGGAGUGGACGCAUCACUGGUGUUCGGGUUGUCAUGCCAAUGGCACUGCCCGGUAGCUAAAUGCGGAAGAGAUAAGUGCUGAAAGCAUCUAAGCACGAAACUUGCCCCGAGAUGAGUUCU